rnacentral:rRNA from 1 species
GACGUAGGGCGCGAGCGUUGUCCGGAUUUAUUGGGCGUAAAGAGCUCGUAGGCGGCUUGUCGCGUCGGCUGUGAAAACCCGCGGCUCAACUGUGGGCGGGCAGCUGAUACGGGCAGGCUGGAGUUCGGUAGGGGAGACUGGAAUUCCUGGUGUAGCGGUGAAAUGCGCAGAUAUCAGGAGGAACACCGGUGGCGAAGGCGGUUCUCUGGGCCUUACCUGACGCUGAGGAGCGAAAGCGUGGGGAGCGAACAGG